rfam:Propionibacterium freudenreichii subsp. shermanii CIRM-BIA1, complete genome
GCGCGUCAUCACGGGCGCCCACGGAACGGGCUGAGAUCGAGCUGGUCUGCUCGAGCACCGAUUGCACCUGUCCGGGUAAUGCCGGCGAAGGGAAAAGAAGACUCAUCAUG